GUGAAGAACGCAGCGAAAUGCGAUAAUUAAUGUGAAUUGCAGAAUUCAGUGAAUCAUCGAGUCUUUGAACGCACAUUGCGCCCCCUGGUAUUCCGGGGGGCAUGCCUGUCCGAGCGUCAUUGCUGCCCUCAAGCCCGGCUUGUGUGUUGGGCCUCGUCCCCCCUCCGGGGGACGGGCCCGAAAGGCAGCGGCGGCACCGUGUCCGGUCCUCGAGCGUAUGGGGCUUUGUCACCCGCUCUGUAGGCCCGGCCGGCGCCUUAGCCGACGACACAAUCUUUUUUUUCAGGUUGACCUCGGAUCAGGUAGGGAUACCCGCUGAACUUAAGCAUAUCAAUAAGCGGAGGA
rnacentral:misc_RNA from 1 species